CCUACGGGAGGCAGCAGUGGGGAAUAUUGCACAAUGGGGGAAACCCUGAUGCAGCGACGCCGCGUGAGUGAAGAAGUAAUUCGUUAUGUAAAGCUCUAUCAGCAGGGAAGAAAAUGACGGUACCUGAGUAAGAAGCCCCGGCUAACUACGUGCCAGCAGCCGCGGUAAUACGUAGGGGGCAAGCGUUAUCCGGAUUUACUGGGUGUAAAGGGAGCGUAGACGGCAGUGCAAGUCUGGAGUGAAAGGCGGGGGCUCAACCCCCGGACUGCUCUUGAAACUGUACGGCUGGAGUGCAGGAGAGGUAAGUGGACUUCCUUGUGUAGCGGUGACAUGCGUAGAUCUUAGGAGGACCCCCAGUGGCGAAGGCGGCUUACUGGACUGUAACUGACGUUGCGGCUCGAACGCGUGGGGAGCACACAGGAUUAGCUACCCGUGUAGUC
rnacentral:rRNA from 1 species